rnacentral:rRNA from 1 species
GACGUAGGGCGCGAGCGUUGUCCGGAUUUACUGGGCGUAAAGAGCGCGCAGGCGGUCGUUCAAGUCGCGUGUGAAAGCCCCCGGCUCAACUGGGGAGGGUCACGCGAUACUGAUCGACUCGAAGGCAGGAGAGGGUAGUGGAAUUCCCGGUGUAGUGGUGAAAUGCGUAGAUAUCGGGAGGAACACCGGUGGCGAAGGCGUCUACCUGGCCUUAAACUGACACUGAAUCACGAAAGCGUGGGGAGCGAACAGG